rnacentral:rRNA from 1 species
GUUCACGGCCACACCACCCUGAGCUCGCCCGCUCUCGUCUGAUCUCGAAGCCAAGCAGGGUCGGGCCUGGUUAGUACUUGGAUGGGAGACCGCCUGGGAAUACCAGGUGAUGUAAGCAU